rnacentral:rRNA from 1 species
GAGGUGUUGCGUAUAGUCGUUACUGGCCGGCCUUGGCUGCUGUCUGAAGUUUGCUGGAAAGCUUCUUCCAGAGAGGGUGUUAGGCCCGUUCGGAUGGUGGGCGAGUCGGAUGGUGGCGUCUUUGGAGUCGAGUUGCUUGGGAGUGCAGCUCAAAGUAGGUGGUAUACCACAUCUAAGGCUAAAUACGGCCACGAAACCGAUAGCGAACAAGUACCGUGAGGGAAAGUUGCAAAGAACUUUGAAGAGAGAGUUCAAGAGGACGUGAAACCACAAGGGACGAAUCGGAUAGAGUUGAUGAAACUGGCGGUGAUCAGUGCUGUCGAGUGCUCUGCUGUGCGCGUUGCUGCCGAAUGGUGGUGCGCGUGCGGUUUGGGAUGUGCGCUCGGCGGUGCGCAUUCACUGUCGGUAUGCGCUGAGGCGUCCGGUGCUUCCUUCUGAACGGCGCGGUGUGGCCCACACUCGUGUGGUGUCCUGUCGCGUCGGGAGGUUGUUGUGAGCGCUGGGCGGCUGUGGGAGCCUCGCCUUUGCGCGGUGCUUGCUGACGCUCGUUCGCGGCGUCGUCCGUGGCGUGCCACUGGCGGCGUUUGCGGGCCUGUGUUAGUGUGCGCUGCUAACAGGCUUGCCCUCGGUGUGAAAGUCGACCACCUAUCCGACCCGUCUUGAAACACGGACCAAGAAGUCUAGUAUGUGCGCGAGUCAAUGGGUGCUCAAACCUAAUGGCGCAAUGAAAGUAAAGGCUGGCUUGACCGGCUGAUAUGUGAUCCGUAGCUACGGCCGCGGCGCAACAUAGCCCCAUGCCGACUGCAUGCAGUGGUGUGGAGGUAGAGCGUACAUACUGGGACCCGAAAGAUGGUGAACUAUGCCUGAGCAGGAUGAAGCCAGAGGAAACUCUGGUGGAGGUCCGAAGCGGUUCUGACGUGCAAAUCGAUCGUCUGACUUGGGUAUAGGGGCGAAAGACUAAUCGAACCAUCUAGUAGCUGGUUCCCUCCGAAGUUUCCCCCAGGAUAGCUGGAGUUUAUACGCUGUUAUAUUCGGUAAAGCGAAUGAUUAGAGGAAUUGGGGACAAAACGUCCUCAACCUAUUCUCAAACUUUCAAUGGGUACGAUGUUGCGGUUGCUUAUGUGAACCGUGACUGCGAAAGCGAGCUCCAAGUGGGCCAUUUUUGGUAAGCAGAACUGGCGAUGCGGGAUGAACCGAACGUCGAGUUAAGGUGCCUAACUCUCCGCUCAUGAGACCCCAUAAAAGGCGUUGGUUGAUAUAGACAGCAGGACGGUGGCCAUGGAAGUCGGAAACCGCUAAGGAGUGUGUAACAACUCACCUGCCGAAUCAACUAGCCCUGAAAAUGGAUGGCGCUUGAGCGGGGGACCUAUACUCGACCGUUGUUGGCUUGUACGAUUCGUGUAACGUCUGGCCUCAACGUGUAGGAGGGUCGCAGCGGUUGGCGUCGAAGGCUUUGGGCGUAGGCCCAGCUGGAGCUACCGCUGGUGCAGAUCUUGGUGGUAGUAGCAAAUAAUCAAGUGAGAUCCUUGAUGACUGAAGUGGGGAAGGGUUCCACGUGAACAGUUGUUGAAUGUGGGUCAGUCGAUCCUAAGAUACUGGCUAAUGCCUUGUAUCAUUGAGAGGUUAAGCUUCGCGCUUCUUCCUCAGAUGUCGAAAGGGAAACAGGUUAAUAUUCCUGUACCAGGAUUCGGAGAUUGGUGCCCGCAAGGGUGCCUCUAGCGGUAACGCAAACGAACUCGGCGACGCUGAGCAGUGACCGAGCCAGAGAUCUCUUCUCUGGUUAAGGAACGGACUCCCUGGAAACGGUUUAGCCGGAGAUAGGGACGUUGUUUCCGUAAAGCGCCACGGUUUCUGUGGUGUCUCGUGUCCUCUGCCCAGCCCUUGAAAAGCCGAGGGAGUAAGUAAAUCUCGAACCUGAUCGUACCGAUAUCCGCAGCAGGUCUCCAAGGUGAAUAGCCUCUAGUCGAUAGAAUAAUGUAGAUACGGGAAGUCGGCAAAUUCGAUCCGUAACCUAGGGAAAAGGAUUGGCUCUAAGGACUGAGUCGUUCGGGCUCUGCCAUGAAACUUGUGCGGAUGCAUCUAUGAUUGGGCCAGGUUCGCUUGGUUCGAUCUAAUGGUGUAGCUGCCUUGUGGACUGGCUUAGCUGUGUGCGUAGGUCUCGGCUUGCGUACUUCGGGCGGCGGUUAACAGUCGACUUAGAACUGGUACGGACUCGGGGAAUCCGACUGUCUAAUUAAAACAGAGGAAACAGAUGGUCCUUGCGGACGUUGACUGUUUCUGAUUUCUGCCCAGUGCUCUGAAUGUUAAUGUGGCGUAAGUCACACAAGCGCGGGUAAACGGCGGGAGUAACUAUGACUCUCUUAAGGUAGCCAAAUGCCUCGUCAUCUAACUAGUGACGCGCAUGAAUGGAUUAACGAGAUUCCCACUGUCCCUAUCUACUAUCUAGCGAAACCACAGCCAAGGGAACGGGCUUGGAAAAAACAGCGGGGAAAGAAGACCCUGUUGAGCUUGACUCUAGUUUGACUCUGUGACGAGCCGUGAGAGGUGUAGUAUAAGUGGGAGGUUUCGGCCGCAAUUGAAAUACCACUACUUUCAUUGAUUCUUUACUUAUUCGGUAAUACGAGGAUUGAGCUUCGCGGCUCUUCCUUUUGGCGUUAAGCAUGGACACAUGGUGUUCGUGUGAUUCGGACCGAAGACAGUGUCAGGCCGGGAGUUUGACUGGGGCGGUACAUCUAUCAAAUCGUAACGUAGGUGUCCUAAGGUUGGCUCAGAGAGGACGGAAACCUCUCGUAGAGCAAAAGGGCAAAAGCCCACUUGAUCUUGAUUUUCAGUACUAAUACAGACCGCGAAAGCGUGGCCUAUCGAUCCUUAAAACCUUGAUGGUUUCAAGUUUGAGGUGUCAGAAAAGUUACCACAGGGAUAACUGGCUUGUGGCGGCCAAGCGUCCAUAGCGACGUCGCUUUUUGAUCCUUCGAUGUCGGCUCUUCCUAUCAUUGCGAAGCAGAAUUCGCCAAGCGUUGGAUUGUUCACCCACUAAUAGGGAACGUGAGCUGGGUUUAGACCGUCGUGAGACAGGUUAGUUUUACCCUACUGUUGACGAGUUGUUGCGAUAGUAAUCCUACUUAGUACGAGAGGAACCGUAGGUUCAGACAAUUGGUUCAUGCGGCUGGCCGAUAGGCCAAUGCUGCGAAGCUACCAUCUGCAGGAUUAUGACUGAAAGCCUCUAAGUCAGAAUCCUAUCUAGUCAUUGGAAUGAUAUCUUGGCUCCCUGGUGUCGGGAGGCAAACCUAUGUAGUCGCAAGGCUACAGCUUAUGCCCUAUUCUUGACCUUUCCAGUUGGGGGAAUCCUAACUGGAUGUCUGGCCGGAUCACUCCGGUUUCAACGUCAGGGCGCGAAAUCACUUGUAUACGACUUGUGUACUGGUCUAGGUGUUGUAUCCAGUAGAGC